rnacentral:rRNA from 1 species
GACGUAGGGCGCGAGCGUUGUCCGGAUUUAUUGGGCGUAAAGAGCUCGUAGGCGGCUUGUCGCGUCGACUGUGAAAACCCGUGGCUCAACCAUGUGGUCUGCAGUCGAUACGGGCAGGCUAGAAUUCGGUAGGGGAGACUGGAAUUCCUGGUGUAGCGGUGAAAUGCGCGGAUAUCAGGAGGAACACCGGUGGCGAAGGCGGGUCUCUGGGCCGAUAUUGACGCUGAGGAGCGAAAGCGUGGGGAGCGAACAGG